rnacentral:rRNA from 1 species
UACGGGAGGCAGCAGUGGGGAAUAUUGCACAAUGGGCGCAAGCCUGAUGCAGCCAUGCCGCGUGUAUGAAGAAGGCCUUCGGGUUGUAAAGUACUUUUCAGUCGUGAGGAAGGUGUUAAGGUUAAUAACCUUAGCAAUUGACGUUAGCGACAGAAGAAGCACCGGCUAACUCCGUGCCAGCAGCCGCGGUAAUACGGAGGGUGCGAGCGUUAAUCGGAAUUACUGGGCGUAAAGGGCACGCAGGCGGUUAAUUAAGUUGGAUGUGAAAUCCCCGGGCUUAACCUGGGAAUGGCAUUCAAGACUGGUUAGCUAGAGUCUUGUAGAGGGGGUAGAAUUCCAUGUGUAGCGGUGAAAUGCGUAGAGAUGUGGAGGAAUACCGGUGGCGAAGGCGGCCCCUGGACAAAGGCUGACGCUCAUGUGCGAAAGCGUGGGGAGCAAAC